AUUGAACGCCGGCGGCAGGCUUAACACAUGCAAGUCGAGCGGGGUGAUGGUGCUUGCACUAUCACUUAGCGGCGGACGGGUGAGUAAUGCUUAGGAAUCUGCCUAUUAGUGGGGGACAACAUCUCGAAAGGGAUGCUAAUACCGCAUACGUCCUACUGGAGAAAGCAGGGGAUCACUUGUGACCUUGCGCUAAUAGAUGAGCCUAAGUCGGAUUAGCUAGUUGGUGGGGUAAAGGCCUACCAAGGCGACGAUCUGUAGCGGGUCUGAGAGGAUGAUCCGCCACACUGGGACUGAGACACGGCCCAGACUCCUACGGGAGGCAGCAGUGGGGAAUAUUGGACAAUGGGGGGAACCCUGAUCCAGCCAUGCCGCGUGUGUGAAGAAGGCCUUAUGGUUGUAAAGCACUUUAAGCGAGGAGGAGGCUCUUUUGGUUAAUACCCAAGAUGAGUGGACGUUACUCGCAGAGUAAGCACCGGCUAACUCUGUGCCAGCCGCCGCGGUAA
rnacentral:rRNA from 1 species